rnacentral:tRNA from 1 species
UCAUCGUUAGUAUAGUGGACAGUAUCUCCGCCUGUCAUGCGCGGAGAACGGGGUUCGAUUCCCUGACGGGGAG